GGUAUGUGUCAUGCAAUUCCAUGUAAAGAUACAGGAAUGCAUUGUACGGUGUAUACAUGAAUUUAGAGAUAUCAACAUGACUGGAUCCCGCUUGUCACCUCGACUGUGAGGACUCCAUCAUCAGGUUUGGACACUGGAUCGACAAGAAGCAGAUUUCAUUGGAUCAGACUGGUGCAGGAGUUUCACAAGUUGGAGGGGAAUCUACAGCUGCAUGUAUUCCUGGUGGAGACCAUGAAGUUCCUUCAUCAGGGGGCCUGUUUCAUAAAGACUAAAAACUAUACUGUAUCUCUGCCAUUAUGGCAACUACCAUGGAAACCUUUAUUGUGAUUAGCUACUGAGCCAUGUUACCAUGGUAGUUGCCAUGAUGGCAAUGUUACAAAAGUUGUAACUCUUCAUGAAAUGGGCCCCUGGACUAUAGUAUCAACAUCAAAGAGGAAGUCUUCAUCAUCACCAUCCAGGUUGUUGCUGAUGUGUCCUCUGCCUGGGAGAUCAUUUACAACAAAGAGUUGUUGGUACCUUUUGACUGGGCAUGACCAUCUGCUUCAUGAUUGUCAAAAAUGGAAAAUACUUCUUCACUAGUACUGAGAAGAGUGUCUUGAGGGUAAAGACUUGGCUGGAGGUGUUUGGUGCUCUGGUGAAUCCACUCAAUCCAGUGAAAUGAAUCAUUAGGAGGAGUGCCAGAAGAGAGAUGAAUGGAUUCUGACCUCCAAAGGCUUAGGAGUACAGCAGAGAUUAAGGAGACAGUGAAGGCUGUGAAAGCACUAGUUGAAUCAUAAUUCAUGUGACUCAUGGAUACACCCCCUAUCUGAUGUUAUUCAUCUUCCAAGCAUGGAUAAGAGAGAUAGUCUACAUCAGAGAAGGAUACAAUCAUCCUCUACAUGGAAUGUCAGUGUUUUUGCUUUCAUAAGGGAUCCAUAACACAAAUGUUUGCAAUCAGUUGCAUAUUGCAACGUCCAAUCAAGAUCAUUUUUGCAUGCACCAGGAGCCAAUCAGGAUGGUUGUUUUAUAUUGGCAUAACAUAAUCAAACAUUUGUGUUAAAAGGCUCAGGUAUGUAGAGGAGCAAACACCAUUU